GGGUAGCUCAGUUGGUAGAGCACAAAACUCUUAAUCUCAGGGCUGUGGGUUUGAGCCCCACACAGAGGCU